UUCAUUCAAGCUAUAGAGAGAGAAAGUAUAGAGAGAAUAAGAGAGAAAGAAGAAGAGUAUUCUGUUACUACACUACUGCAGUAUUCAAUCUACUACUAAUGUAAGGGGUGUUAUUCUUUCUUAUUCAUGAAGAGAACUGUUGUUAUUCCAUUGCUUAUUAUUCUGUUAGAAUAACCUGUAUACGCGGUUUACCCUAUACUUGGUGACAUUCUUCUAUUAUUCUG
rnacentral:lncRNA from 1 species